GGAUAUGGUUCACAUAUUUAAGAACUCCCAUCACUUCAGAAGAUUGAGAGCUGAGACUGAAGUCUGUGUCAGUUUAUCCUACAAUAUUAUUAGGAAAAGUCAAAGUCAUCAAUCAACUGUACUAAUAAGAGAUCUAUUGUAGAUCCAAAUACCAUGUCUCCUGUGCAGUUUUUCCUCCUUACUUUGGGAGUUCUGGAUUCGAUUUCAUGCCUUGAUCCAAGCCAAGCCAUAAGAACAUUUGACGAGUUUAAAAACCGGCAUAUUGUAGUUGGGACAUUUUCAAACUGUACACAUUACAUGGCCAAACAUCAUAUAUAUGAUCAAUCUAAUGGGCGUUGCAAAAAAGUCAAUAGUUUCAUCAUCGAUGCUUCAGUGGCUGAAAUAAAAAAAACAUGUAGGGGUAAAACCAAUGGUUCACACAACAGCUCUAAGUGUUUUGAUGUGUUUGACUGCAUCAAUUUCACAAAUUUAAAGCCACCCCGUUGUAAAUACAAACAGAGACCAAUAAUAUCCGCAAAAAUUAAUGUAGUAUGUGAAAAAUAUUUACCAGUGCAU